rnacentral:lncRNA from 1 species
AGGAAACAAUUCAAAUUUUAUUAAACAUUAAGAAUAACAGACAAAGUUUUGGACUUAACAGCAUAAACAGCAACCAAAACCAUGGUGUACAAACACACUGACAUCAAGUGAACUUGUACCUGUUUAACAGAUGCAAUCUUUGUGGUGUUGCCAAAAGGAUAAUGGUGAUUAUUGUUACGUUUGGUAAGGUGCUCCACAUGAAAGAUUUUAUGCCUUAACUACUCUCUCAGUGGGGGCCUAGGAGCCCUUAGAAGGAAGCUGGCAGACUGAGAGCAGGUGUCUAUCACCUUCUGGAACUGCUCUGAUUAACACGAAUUAAGUUUUCCUAAAAGGAACUUUAGGAAUAAGGGAGGCAAACUCCUUUGCAUUUU